rnacentral:piRNA from 1 species
UAGGACGAUCCUAAUCUUGGG